rnacentral:lncRNA from 1 species
CGGAAGGGGCCCCUGCCCAAAAGGUGAGAGAUGCCAGAUGGCCUGGGGCACAGCAGGCUUGGCUAAGUCGGCCCCCAGAGCACGGAAAGGCUCUCUGAGAGCUCGGAUCCCACCUGCUUUGUCAGAGUGAGUAUUUCCUUUCUAGAGGCCAGGAAUGGAGACGCAUCAGCCUCAGCGGAGUGAGCAGGGCUCAAACAGGACACCACUAGGGCCAUUGGGCUUCCUCCAUGGCACUGACUUCUUAGGCAGCUCCCCACCUUCUCAGGAGAAACCAUCUCCCCUCAACGGCAGGGUUUCCAGCUGCAGAGAUCUGAUACCCACUCAGUAUUUAUCACUCUUUGGUUGUACGAGAUAGAAGCUUCGCAAUUCACAAUGAGCCUCGGGUUUCGCCUGAUACCAUCUCCAAAUCUUUGCUAGAGGGUUUCUUGUGGCCCUGAGGCCCUUGUCCUGCUCACAUUUUCAGGGGACACUGAGUGUUCUCACAACGCAGAGAUGGCCUGACCCAGAAAAAUGGUGUCAGCCCUGGGUCAAGCCCUGCCCCACUGGGCCACAUUUCCCUCAUGUGCGAUCACAGUGGUAAUAAAACACCAACAGUCAUCACUUCUGAGGGUUUGCUCUACACCAAACAGACACUAUGCGCCUAUUUAUUAUUUUAUUACAUUAUUACCUUAUUUCCUUAUCAACACAUUGGUGCUACUCCUGCAGGAAAGCACAGUGACUAGCCCAGAUCACCAGCUGGUAAGUGGAGGGCCUGGAGUCAAACUCCAAUCUGCUCCGCUCCCCUGAAUAUUCUCGGAUUUACUGUGUUCCACAGCUUCAGGGAUGAUGAGAGUGUUACCUACACCAAGAGGUGUCAACAAGUGAGGGUGAACAUGUCAAAUGGACCAACCACUGAGCCUGUAGUCAUAUGUCUAAAAGAGAGGGAGAUUUGGAGCUAUGGACUGUCCUUUCUCCCUGCACC